rnacentral:lncRNA from 1 species
CUCAGCUAUCUAGAUCAUCUCACAAGUUGGAUUGUAUAUAUACGUAUAAUUGAGCACAAGGACUUAAGUAUCAUCGACAAAUCGAUCUGCCGCAGUUAUAGUAUUAGGUGUACAAAGAUCCAAAGGGUUACUUUUUGGGUGCUUGCAUCAGCAUUACCUAAUAGUUUUGUUUAAUAAUCCCGAUUGGAAAAUUAGAGCAUUAGAGAUGUAGAUUCCUUGCCUUUGUAUUCCCGCUAGGUCUUUGUCCCACUAGAAGCUAGCAAGAACAAUAUGUAAUUGAAAACAAAGCUGUGAGACUUGGGGAUUGGCACAUAUCCUAAUUUAAAGAGAGACA